UGGGGAAUUUUGGACAAUGGGCGAAAGCCUGAUCCAGCAAUGCCGCGUGUGUGAAGAAGGCCUUCGGGUUGUAAAGCACUUUUGUCCGGAAAGAAAUCCUUGGCUCUAAUACAGUCGGGGGAUGACGGUACCGGAAGAAUAAGCACCGGCUAACUACGUGCCAGCAGCCGCGGUAAUACGUAGGGUGCAAGCGUUAAUCGGAAUUACUGGGCGUAAAGCGUGCGCAGGCGGUUUGCUAAGACCGAUGUGAAAUCCCCGGGCUCAACCUGGGAACUGCAUUGGUGACUGGCAGGCUAGAGUAUGGCAGAGGGGGGUAGAAUUCCACGUGUAGCAGUGAAAUGCGUAGAGAUGUGGAGGAAUACCGAUGGCGAAGGCAGCCCCCUGGGCCAAUACUGACGCUCAGUGCACGAAAGCGUGGGGGAGCAAACAGGAUUNGAUACCCUGGGUAGUCCACGCCCUAAACGACGUCACUAGUUGUUGGGGAUUCAUUUCCUUAGUAACGUAGCUAACGCGUGAAGUU
rnacentral:rRNA from 1 species